AGAGUUGAUCCUGGCUUAGAAUGAACGCUGGCGGCAUGGAUUAGGCAUGCAAGUCGAACGAGAAAGCGCCUUCGGGCGCGAGUAAAGUGGCGCAAGGGUGAGUAACACGUGAGGAACCUGCCCCCGAGCCCGGAACAAGCCUGGGAAACCGGGUCUGAAACCGGAUGACGGCCCCCGGCGCAUGGUCGGCGGGCCAAAUAUUCAUAGCUUGGGGAUGGCCUCGCGUCCCAUUAGCCUGUUGGCGGGGUGACGGCCCACCAAGGCGACGACGGGUAGGUGGUCUGAGAGGAUGGUCACCCACACUGGGACUGAGACACUGCCCAGACUCCUACGGGAGGCUGCAGUCGAGAAUCUUCCGCAAUGGGCGCAAAGCCUGACGGAGCGAUGCCGCGUGAGGGACGAAGGCCCUAGGGUUGUAAACCUCUGUCGUCCGGGACGAAACCAAUGACGGUACCGGGCAAGAAAGCCACGGCUAACUACGUGCCAGCCGCCGC
rnacentral:rRNA from 1 species